AUUGAACGCUGGCGGCAGGCCUAACACAUGCAAGUCGAGCGGGGCGGCGGACGGGUGAGUAAUGCCUAUGAAUCUGCCUGGUCGUUGGGGAUAAAGUCCGGAAACGGGCGGUAAUACCGCAUACUCUCUGUUGAGCCUAGGUGGGAUUAGCUAGUUGGUGGGGUAAAGGCCUACCAAGGCGACGACCCGUAGCUGGUCUGAGAGGAUGAUCAGUCACACUGGAACUGAGACACGGUCCAGACUCCUACGGGAGGCAGCAGUGGGGAAUAUUGGACAAUGGGCGAAAGCCUGAUCCAGCCAUGCCGCGUGUGUGAAGAAGGUCUUCGGAUUGUAAAGUACUUUAAGUUGGGAGGCGUUACCAACAGAAGAAGCACCGGCUAACUUCGUGCCAGCAGCCGCGGUAAUAC
rnacentral:rRNA from 1 species